GUCAGAGGGCUGCCAUUUGGUGUGUUGUUUGAAAUACCUAAUUCACUUAUGUGGUAUUUUUUGGUGUGUUAUUACUUGUUAAGUUGGCUGCGAUUGGGCCGACUUCCUUUUCCGUGUUAGCUGUGAAAGAAAAAACAUGCCGCUAGCAAAAGAUUUAUUGCACCCUCUGCCCGCUGAGGAGAAACGCAAGCACAAGCUGAAGCGCUUGGUGCAGCACCCCAACUCCUACUUCAUGGAUGUCAAGUGCCCAGGAUGCUACAGAAUCACAACCGUGUUCAGUCACGCUCAGGGCGUUGUGGUUUGCGCUGGUUGCGCCACCAUUCUGUGCCAGCCAACUGGAGGACGCGCUAAGCUCACAGAAGGCUGCUCGUUCCGCAGGAAGCCACAGUAAUUUGGGAUGCGUCUUGAUGAACCACAAAUUAUUAAUUUUUUAAUAAACACUCUAAAAACACGAUGCCGUCGAUGUUUUAUGCAAAUGGAGAAGGAUUCGCCAACAACAACAGCACACAGUCUAAAGUCUCUUGUAGAACAUUUCGGCAGCGGCAGCAGCAGCAACAACAAUUUAAUAUAUUAUUAAUAAGUAGUUUUAAACUGCAUUGAAUGAUUGAUGAGUUAAACUGGCUGUAAAAUAGAGAGAAAAAGCGUCCUUUUAAUAUAUGAUUUUUGCGUGUGUAAAAGCUGAAGCUUCUGAAGAACAUUAAAAAAUUAACGAUGUUGUGGUUAGCAAUGUGAA